rnacentral:rRNA from 1 species
AAACUUUCAACAACGGAUCUCUUGGCUCUGGCAUCGAUGAAGAACGCAGCGAAAUGCGAUAAGUAAUGUGAAUUGCAGAAUUCAGUGAAUCAUCAAAUCUUUGAACGCACAUUGCGCCCGCCAGUAUUCUGGCGGGCAUGCCUGUUCGAGCGUCAUUA